AAUCACCUCCCAUCAGGACCCUCCCUCCACACGUGGGGAUUACAAUUCAAGAUGAGAUUCAGGUGGGGACACAAAGCCAAACCAUAUCAUCUUCAUUCUCCCCCCUGGCACUUGAGGGGAAAAAAGAAUCAUAUCAGCUUGACUAUUCAAAAAAGAAGCAAGAGCGCCACAGUUAUUUCAGUGCAUGGGAAAAGGGAUAAACUGAAACAAUAAACUUGAACGUUUAGGAAUAUAAAAGCAGUUUCUCCCUCCACUCACCGGCUCCAGGCUGGCAAAGCUGACACCAGUGCCACAGAAAAUGCAACCCGCUGCCCUCUCCCCAAAAUGUGGGGAGAGCACGGUUUUGCUAUGAAGAUGUCGGCUUUGACCUGAGGCUGACUUGAGAGCCCAGCUGUCAUGUCUCUUCCAAAUAAGCUGCUGAACUUGGAAUUAUCUUGGCUGAAUAAUUAAUCAGGACUAAAAAUAACCUCAAACUGCCUGGGCUUUGCUUAAAUCCUACACAGGCACAGCAUCACCUUACAUCGAAGACAGAUUCAACGAAUCUGCCUCUCAUCCUAGGUGGCCACUAGGCAACUCCUCUGGGACCAUUUCUUCCUGCUCUAUGCUCCCAUGACCUUCAUUCAUACUCCCUCUUCCCCUGCUGGAAACCUACUUCUUUUACCUCCUCAAAGGUAAAAGGACCAGCUGGUGAACAAAAGAAUACAUUUGCUCUAUCUAAAGAGAAGCAUUAGAGCAAGGGAGGAAAAACUGAUGCAAGACAAAUGACUUGGGCUCAUCAUAAAAUACUGAGCAGUCAGCAGAACAUUAAGAAGAGACUUCUACUCCCCACCACACACAUAACCAUCUGCACACCUGAAUGCCGAGACUAAGCCUCACCAGACGCCAGCAGCAUAAAUGAGAGGAGUCACUUACCCCUCUGAGGCUCAGGCUUCUCGACUGGAAAAAAAAAAAGAUAAUAAAAAUAUCAGUUCAGUUGG
rnacentral:lncRNA from 10 species